CGGAGGAUCCAAGCGUUAUCCGGAAUCAUUGGGUUUAAAGGGUCCGUAGGCGGGUUUAUAAGUCAGAGGUGAAAGCCCAUCGCUCAACGAUGGAACGGCCAUUGAUACUGUAGAUCUUGAAUUAUUAGGAAGUAACUAGAAUAUGUAGUGUAGCGGUGAAAUGCUUAGAGAUUACAUGGAAUACCAAUUGCGAAGGCAGGUUACUACUAAUGGAUUGACGCUGAUGGACGAAAGCGUGGGUAGCGAACAGGAUUAGAUACCCUGGUAGUCCACGCCGUAAACGAUGGAUACUAGCUGUUCGGAGCAAUCUGAGUGGCUAAGCGAAAGUGAUAAGUAUCCCACCUGGGGAGUACGUUCGCAAGAAUG
rnacentral:rRNA from 1 species